rnacentral:rRNA from 1 species
CUACGGGCUGCUCCAGUGGGGAAUCUUGGACAAUGGGCGCAAGCCUGAUCCAGCCAUGCCGCGUGAGUGAAGAAGGCCUUAGGGUCGUAAAGCUCUUUCGCCAGAGAUGAUAAUGACAGUAUCUAGUAAAGAAACCCCGGCUAACUCCGUGCCAGCAGCCGCGGUAAUACGGAGGGGGUUAGCGUUGUUCGGAAUUACUGGGCGUAAAGCGCGCGUAGGCGGAUUAGUCAGUCAGAGGUGAAAUCCCAGGGCUCAACCCUGGAACUGCCUUUGAUACUGCUAGUCUUGAGUUCGAGAGAGGUGAGUGGAAUUCCGAGUGUAGAGGUGACAUUCGUAGAUAUUCGGAGGAACACCAGUGGCGAAGGCGGCUCACUGGCUCGAUACUGACGCUGAGGUGCGAAAGUGUGGGGAGCAAACAGGAUUAGAUACCCGUGUAGUC